rnacentral:rRNA from 1 species
CACGUAGGGUGCGAGCGUUGUCCGGAAUUAUUGGGCGUAAAGCGCGCGCAGGCGGUUCUUUAAGUCCGGUGUUUAAAUCCAGGGCUCAACCCUGGGUCGCACGGGAAACUGGGGGACUGGAGUGCAGGAGAGGGAAGUGGAAUUCCACGUGUAGCGGUGAAAUGCGUAGAUAUCGUAAGGAAGACCAGUGGCGAAAGCGAGUCUCUGGCUAGCAGCUGACACUGAGGCACGAAAGCUGGGGGAGCAAACGGG